AAAUAUUGAUAGAAACAUCUUUUACUUUAACUGCAAAACAUUUGUUCCAUUAGGCCAAAAAGGAGGAAGUACACAGUCAGAAGGAAUGCAGGAGCGAAAUGAUGAAGCCUCACCAACGUAUGAAGCUCUUCAGCAUCACUACAGUGCAGAGCAAAUGUACUCAACCAUUGGCCAGAACGCUGGGGUCCAGGCCACUGCUGCAGAUUAUGAAAAUCUGAGUUCAGAUUGAUGUUUCUGCAUGAAACACCAGAUGGUGCCAUCUCAACUCCCCUUUAGCAGUGUGUUGGUGACAUGCAACAGGUUAGCUUGUUUUUGUUGUUUUAUUCUUCUCUCAUGUUGUUACCCUGUAGCCAGAAAUAGAGGAAAUUUUGUGUUGAAAUAGUGGAGCUGAACAUUCUAUUACAAUAGUUCAGCUGGUUUAGAUAUAUUUCCCCUUUUCAUCCAGACAAUGACAAAUGUGUUACAUUGCAUGACACAGUUUAACAUAGGAUGUGGAGGGAUGGUGUUUUGUUUGAUUUUUCUCAUUUGCAGAAAUUGUUCCAUGCGUUUCAAAAAAACAAGCAUUUAUAAAAACAAGAUACAUGUAUGUGUAUCUGCCUAUUUGGAGUUGUAUAUGUCAAAGAGACUUUAUGUUUACAGUAGCUGCAGUUAGUCAAAACGUCUACUUGUUAAAUUAAAGGACAACUUAAAAUGAAAGAAACGUGUAUGUUUUUGCAGAACUUCAUCUGAAGAGGCUGUAGGAUGAUAGGCUAUGGAGAUAUGUUUAUGAAAGUAAUAAACCAAAUGACAAGACAUUUCUUUCAGCCAAUCAGUGUACAAUUGCAACCAGGUAAAUUAAUAACC